rnacentral:lncRNA from 1 species
CCCCUUCUACAUGCCAUAUAAAUUCCACAUUAAAUUAGCAUUAAAUCAUAGGAUAUCUGGUUGAGAAAUAAAAGCAAUGCGUAUAAUUAAGAGCCUUCAUGAAGAAAGACUCUUCAACUUCACAUGCUGGAAAGAGGUGGGCGGCAUUUAUUUUUUUGUCAUGGAUUCUAAUGAGCACAGAGGAGUCCUUCUCCACUUGAAUCUAGUUUA